rnacentral:rRNA from 1 species
GACGAACGCUGGCGGCGUGCCUAAUACAUGCAAGUCGAGCGAACUUUGAAAAGCUUGCUUUUCAAAGUUAGCGGCGGACGGGUGAGUAACACGUGGGUAACCUGCCUGUGAGACUGGGAUAACAUCGGGAAACCGAUGCUAAUACCGGAUAAUCCUUUCCUACACAUGUAGGGAAGCUGAAAGUCGGUUUUUAGCUGACACUUACAGAUGGGCCCGCGGCGCAUUAGCUAGUUGGUGAGGUAACGGCUCACCACGGCAACGAUGCGUAGCCGACCUGAGAGGGUGAUCGGCCACCCUGGGACUGAGACACGGCCCAGACUCCUACGGGAGGCAGCAGUAGGGAAUCUUCCACAAUGGACGAAAGUCUGAUGGAGCAACGCCGCGUGAGCGAUGAAGGCCUUCGGGUCGUAAAGCUCUGUUGUUAGGGAAGAACAAGUGCUGGAGUAACUGCCGGCACCUUGACGGUACCUAACCAGAAAGCCACGGCUAACUACGUGCCAGCAGCCGCCGUAAGAC